UACGUAGGGGGCAAGCGUUGUCCGGAUUUAUUGGGCGUAAAGAGCUCGUAGGCGGCUUGGCAAGUCGGGUGUGAAAACUUCAGGCUCAACCUGGAGCGGCCACUCGAUACUGCUAUGGCUUGAGUCCGGUAGGGGACCACGGAAUUCCUGGUGUAGCGGUGAAAUGCGCAGAUAUCAGGAGGAACACCGGUGGCGAAGGCGGUUCUCUGGGCAUUACCUGACGCUGAGGAGCGAAAGUGUGGGGAGCGAACAGG
rnacentral:rRNA from 1 species